UCUUAUUCCAAAUUCAACUUUUCAAAAACAUUUAUCAAGAAAAUACAAGACCUCUUUCGCAUAAUUACCAAGUCACGUAUUUCAAAUUCUCUUAUGCAAACCCUAAAUACAUUCAAGGUUCAAGUCUCUCUGCUCAAACUUCAAAGAUGCUACAAAAUAUCUCAUAAAUUACAUGAAAGGUUGCACAAAGAAAUCAAAGUUUUACAAGCUUGUUUGAAGUAUAGCAAAGAAAAGUAUCUAAACCUAGUGUAUUUAAAACUAGUACAAGGCUGCCCCAUUUGUUUCUAUUCUUCACCAUGUUUGUCCUUAUCCUACAAUGCAAUUAACAAUGUUCAAUUUGCCAAGAAUGAGAGAAGAACCAAGUGA